CCCCCCUUUUUUUUUUGUGGCCACUCUUUUUUUUCCUUUUUAGUAUUUUUCUUUUUGUUCCUUUCAUUUCAUUUUAUCAUUAUAUUUUCUAUAUUUGAGAAAGAAAAGCUUAACUUGAUAAUUGAUGUGUGUGAGUUUAUUUUUUAAAUUAUAUAAAUAUAAUUAAUCCUAUGACACACAAAUACAAUUGGACUUGUAUCAACAAGUCCCACAGAAAGCAAAGAAGGUUUACCAUCGAACUUAUGACGAUAUAAGUCGGGUAUCG
rnacentral:lncRNA from 1 species